UUGAUACAGUGAAUUAAAUCUAUCUAGUAGAUGUACACCGUUAUUUACAAUAGCUAAUUACAAAGGGGUGAGUAGUGAAAAUAAGCUGCCAGUGAUAACAGUGUUUGUUUUCUAAGGUGACAAAAUUCUGAAGUCCCAAGGAUUGUGUAGCUGUUAAAUAGAGGAUGUCACAUAUCACAGUACUACCCACGAGUCUUUCAUCCAUUAGACUUUGGCUGUGAGCUGGAAGCUUAUGCUCCAUUUCUAAUUCAAUGAAAACGACAAUGUGAGCAAUGGGCUGUCAAGUAUCUAAAACUGUACCAUAUCAUAUAAACCUUUUCUUUGUGUUAACCAAUAGAGUACUCACCACUGAUGUCACCUUGGAAGCCUGUGCUUAGGGUUCACGAUGACACCUACCUCCUGUGUGCAUCCUGAGGAUUAAAACUCUGGUCUCCAUGCUUCUACCACAGGCACUUUACCAGCCCACCUCCCCAGCUUCUAUAGUUUGGAUCUUUAACGCUCAUAGAGAGAGUCUACAAUUGAGAAGGCAGACUCACCUGAAGAAACUUAAUGACAAGACUAAGGUAACUGAAGCUGAAUAAUAUGCUCAGGUCUUCUUUCACUCCCAGUGAGGUCACAUGACUGGCACACACUAGGGUUCGGUAUGCACUGUGCCCUAAUAAUGUUGUAACCAAUGUGAAAUUUUCACACUUUCCACAGCUACCCUUAGUGUUUCUCCUAGUA